GCCAGGCGUGGUGGCGCACGCCUGGAAUCCCAGCAGCUCGGGAGGCGGAGGCAGGAGGAUCGCUGGUUCAAAGCCAGCCUCAGCAAUUUAGCAAGGAGCUAAGCAACACAGUGAGACCCUGUCUCUU
rnacentral:sRNA from 1 species